rnacentral:rRNA from 1 species
GAUGAACGCUGGCGGCGUGCUUAAUACAUGCAAGUCGAGCGAACAGAUGAGGAGCUUGCUCCUCUGACGUUAGCGGCGGACGGGUGAGUAACACGUGGAUAACCUACCUAUAAGACUGGGAUAACUUCGGGAAACCGGAGCUAAUACCGGAUAAUAUAUUGAACCGCAUGGUUCAAUAGUGAAAGACGGUUUUGCUGUCACUUAUAGAUGGAUCCGCGCCGCAUUAGCUAGUUGGUAAGGUAACGGCUUACCAAGGCGACGAUGCGUAGCCGACCUGAGAGGGUGAUCGGCCACACUGGAACUGAGACACGGUCCAGACUCCUACGGGAGGCAGCAGUAGGGAAUCUUCCGCAAUGGGCGAAAGCCUGACGGAGCAACGCCGCGUGAGUGAUGAAGGUCUUCGGAUCGUAAAACUCUGUUAUUAGGGAAGAACAAAUGUGUAAGUAACUAUGCACGUCUUGACGGUACCUAAUCAGAAAGCCACGGCUAACUACGUG